AAUGAAUGGAGACAUCUAUAAGCAUGUAGCAGGGUGCCAACAACAGUUGCUAACCCUCCACAUCUAUCUUAUUUCAUUUGAUUUACAGUUGGGGCAACAAAUAAACUGCUGACACUUGGCCAGUGAUGCCCAUGUGAAUAUAGAAGUGGUGGAAACUUUAAGCUAUAACAAACAAUUGAUGCCACUUGAGAAGCUUACUCUACUCAUCAUCUAUGCUAUAGAGAAGGAAAGCAUAUGGUAUGUUAAAGAAGAUGGUAAUCACAAAAAAAGGAAAAACGAGGCAGUUAAGUUCUUGGGAUGAUAGAGGUAUUCAUGUUGACUCUUCUCCUCCAGUGGCCACUCCAGUGCAAUGUCAGUUGGAAUGAGGAAGGUGGCAAGCUCAGGAGUAGCUAAGCUCAGAUACCCAUGCCAAAAAAGACUUGUCAAAGAGAAGGAAAGCAGCAUGACUGCUGUAAAAAAAAGGUUUUGGAAUAUAUGCAUUUGGACUAUAUGUACAUACUGAGAUGCCCUGGAGUUGUGGCCCAAGCCUAAACACAAGAUUCAUUUAUGUUUCAUACACACCAUAUACACAUAGACUGAAGCUGUUUUGCUCCAUCCACUGCCAAUGCUAUUGCUACUCCUGGCACAGAGAGAAAUGCUACUGGAUAAAAUGGCAAAGGAAGAUGGGCCAAAAUUGCAGAAAAAUCUAUUUCCGUUUUCAGAAAAGAGCAGUGUCAAUGUUCGGAAUGGCACUGGGGAGAGAAUGUAUUUUAUGUUUGCCUUAAGUUUUAACAUUAAAACAUAGAUGUUAAAUUAAUCAAUAUCAAUGUAAUAGGUUAAAAUCUGAAUAUAGUAAAGGGAAGAUAGAGACAAAUCAAGAAAAUAUAGUCUCUUCGAACAUAUCUGUUUGGGUUGGUGUAUUUUAAAUUCAAAAAUGUCACAGGGAUUGACAAUGUAACUUUUAGUCCAUAUUUGUCAGCAAAACCCAGGGAUUUUGAAGAUUUUGGAAAAGCCAGUUUUAUAUCACAGGAAAUUGGAGAUUUAUGUUCAAAACAGAAAUACCUAUCUCCUUGCUUGUAAUUCAGGAAUCAAGGGCAUGCCGGAGACAAUGCUGGAUAUAUAAGUCUUCAAUGAUCAGAUGUUUUGAAACAAAAGAAAGUAAGAAAUUCCAUAUGCAAAAUUAUGCAGAUUACAAUUUCAUUUUUUGUCUAGGAAUUGGUUCAAUCUAAUUAGAAUAUCAGUGGAAUUCAUCCCAGAAUCUGAACUGAUUUACACAUUUACCAUACUGUGCUCAGUUGAAAAGAAUUAUCUGUUUUGUUAUUUUAUACAAAUUUUAUACAAAUACCAAUGCCACUGUCAUGUGAAGAACUUUAUUAGAAGAAGCUAGACAAAGACUAAAGUGGUAUAGCCUACCGCAGCAGUUCUCAAACUGUGCUCCACAGGGGCUCCUCACCCCCCGGUUCCUCCCUGUCUAAGAAGCAUGUGGCCAGUGGAGCCCCACUGCCACCAGCAUAGCCUAUCCCAAUGCUGCCAUGGCCUGCAAGGCCUCCCUGCUGCUGCUUUCCCUACAUGGCAUAAACAGGUUGGACUGGGGGGCAGGCUGGAGUUGCUGUUGUUGUUAUUAUUAUUAUUAUUAUUAUUAUUAUUAUUAUUAUUAUUAUUUCAAAGAUUGGAUGGUUAUCUGUUGGGGUGCUUUGAUUUGUGCUUUUACUGCAUGGCAGAAACAGGUUAGACUGGGUGGCCCCUGGAGUUGCUCCUAUUAUUAUUAUCAUUGCUCUUAGAUCACAUGAUGUUAAUGCGUUAAUUGUGUUUUAAUUGUAUUUUAAUGUGCAUUUUAAAUGACUUUCUUUGUAUUUUGUUUUAAAGGCAUUAAAUUACUGACACGUUGUCAA